rnacentral:rRNA from 1 species
ACUUAUGACGAAGUCUGACGGAGCAACGCCGCGUGAGUGAUGAAGGCUUUCGGGUCGUAAAACUCUGUUGUUAGGGAAGAACAAGUACGAGAGUAACUGCUCGUACCUUGACGGUACCUAACCAGAAAGCCACGGCUAACUACGUGCCAGCAGCCGCGGUAAUACGUAGGUGGCAAGCGUUAUCCGGAAUUAUUGGGCGUAAAGCGCGCGCAGGCGGUUUCUUAAGUCUGAUGUGAAAGCCCACGGCUCAACCGUGGAGGGUCAUUGGAAACUGGGGAACUUGAGUGCAGAAGAAAAAAGCGGAAUUCCACGUGUAGCGGUGAAAUGCGUAGAGAUGUGGAGGAACACCAGUGGCGAAGGCGGCUUUUUGGUCUGUAACUGACGCUGAGGCGCGAAAGCGUGGGGAGCAAACAGGAUUAGAUACCCUGGUAGUCCACGCCGUAAACGAUGAGUGCUAAGUGUUAGAGGGUUUCCGCCCUUUAGUGCUGCAGCUAACGCAUUAAGCACUCCGCCUGGGGAGUACGGUCGCAAGACUGAAACUCAAAGAAAAUUGACGGA